GGAGGUCACCCGACGGCCCUGCCCGAGGGCCCGCGGCACCCAGACCUGCUCCCUCUCCGGGCUCCUUCUUUGCUGCGGAGGGCUGUGGUCAGGUCACAGCCGCACCCUCCCCUGCAUGGCACGCCCUGACCUGUCUCCUCAGGGAUAUCAGGAUGCAGGCAGCGCCUCUGUCUCUGCUGACAUGGCUGACGGGUUUCAACUCGGCUGCGGAUUCUGAUUCAUCGGGAAGGGCUUCCUAGAGCAUUACGUUAAGAAGGAUUCUGAGGCGGUAUCUGCUAGGCUGGCCGUGCACGUCCUGGGACGGGGCUGCCCUGGGGUCCAAGCGGUCCAGCUCUUAGAGCCCAUGGCGGCCACAGGACGUUCUCACCUCCGCGGGCUCCUCGCAGGCCCCUCCCGCCUGUCUGCCCAGCAGAGCCUCCAGGUGAAGAGACAGGUGAACCGAGGCUCCAGGGAGGGACGCAAGACAGAGAGCUGGUGCUCAGACGGGACUCCCAGCCGUCUCUCCACUCAGAGUCGAGCAGCGUGUUGACACUCCAUCUCUCAGUUCGUGUUCGGUGAUGGAGGGUUUGUCUAUGUGUUGUUUGUUUUUCUGAUAAGAAGAGAAGAGGAAAGGAAAGAAGAGAAAAGAAGAGAAAAGAAGAGAAAAGAAAAGAAAAGAAAAGAAAAGAAAAGAAAAGAAAAAACAUACCAGACCUCAAACAUCUUGUGCCCAUGUGUGUGCCUCCCCUUUCUGAAAACCCACUGACGUGAUCAAAUAAAGGCAAACUAAAACAUAA